rnacentral:rRNA from 1 species
ACGGAAGGCAGCAGUGGGGAAUUUUGCGCAAUGGGGGCAACCCUGACGCAGCAACGCCGCGUGCGGGAUGACGGCCUUCGGGUUGUAAACCUCUUUCAGCGGGAAAGAUUAUGACGGUACCCACAGAAGAAGCUCCGGCUAACUACGUGCCAGCAGCCGCGGUAAUACGUAGGGAGCAAGCGUUAUCCGGAUUCAUUGGGCGUAAAGCGCGCGUAGGCGGCUUGUUAAGCAAGAUUUUAAAUCUGGGGGCUCAACCUUCAGACGGAGCUUGAACUGGCAGGCUAGAGUGUGGUAGAGGAAAGUGGAAUUCCCAGUGUAGCGGUGAAAUGCGCAGAUAUUGGGAAGAACACCAAUGGCGAAGGCAGCUUUCUGGGCCAUAACUGACGCUGAGGUGCGAAAGCUAGGGGAGCGAACAGGAUUAGAUACCCUGGUA